rnacentral:rRNA from 1 species
UACGUAGGGUGCAAGCGUUAAUCGGAAUUACUGGGCGUAAAGCGUGCGCAGGCGGUGAUGUAAGACAGAUGUGAAAUCCCCGGGCUCAACCUGGGAACUGCAUUUGUGACUGCAUCGCUGGAGUGCGGCAGAGGGGGAUGGAAUUCCGCGUGUAGCAGUGAAGUGCGUAGAUAUGCGGAGGAACACCGAUGGCGAAGGCAAUCCCCUGGGCCUGCACUGACGCUCGAUGACACGAAAGCGUGGGGAGCAAACAGG